AACCCUUAGAAUUGCAUUUUCUUUUUAUUGGAAGGAGUAUCGUGCAAACAUGGAAUGAAAGGCUGGCGUGUUCCAGAAUGUUUUUUUUUCUAAUGUUGUGAUAUUCUUGUACUGAUGUUGAAGACAUGCUAUAGCUGUAUACAAACAAUUUUUGCUAUUGAUCAUUGCUCUGUUUGAUUUGGGACAACCCAUGCACGAGAUACGUGUUGGACAGGCAAACCAUGCCAAUAUUUCCAUGUAAUGUAGCUCAUGGGAACCAAGCCCUUUCAAUUCAAAUUUCCAUGUAGCUCAUGGGAACCAACAC
rnacentral:lncRNA from 1 species